rnacentral:rRNA from 1 species
UACGAAGGGGGCUAGCGUUGCUCGGAAUCACUGGGCGUAAAGCGCACGUAGGCGGCUUUUUAAGUCAGGGGUGAAAUCCUGGAGCUCAACUCCAGAACUGCCUUUGAUACUGAGAAGCUUGAGUCCGGGAGAGGUGAGUGGAACUGCGAGUGUAGAGGUGAAAAUUCGUAGAUAUUCGCAAGAACACCAGUGGCGAAGGCGGCUCACUGGCC